AUUGAACGCUGGCGGCAGGCCUAACACAUGCAAGUCGAGCGGAUGAAGGGAGCCUGCUCCUGGAUUCAGCGGCGGACGGGUGAGUAAUGCCUAGGAAUCUGCCUGGUAGUGGGGGAUAACGUCCGGAAACGGGCGCUAAUACCGCAUACGUCCUGAGGGAGAAAGUGGGGGAUCUUCGGACCUCACGCUAUCAGAUGAGCCUAGGUCGGAUUAGCUAGUUGGUGGGGUAAAGGCCUACCAAGGCGACGAUCCGUAACUGGUCUGAGAGGAUGAUCAGUCACACUGGAACUGAGACACGGUCCAGACCCCUACGGGAGGCAGCAGUGGGGAAUAUUGGACAAUGGGCGAAAGCCUGAUCCAGCCAUGCCGCGUGUGUGAAGAAGGUCUUCGGAUUGUAAAGCACUUUAAGUUGGGAGGAAGGGCAGUAAGUUAAUACCUUGCUGUUUUGACGUUACCAACAGAAUAAGCACCGGCUAACUUCGUG
rnacentral:rRNA from 1 species